GUCACCUGUAUGAAACCAUCCAUCUUUGAUAGCUUCUCUUGUCAACUCUGGAUUUUUGUAGUAUCCAGUGAAAGUGGUCCUCCCUCUCACGCAUAUCUCUCCCCGGGAAGGGUCUGCUAGCGGAUCAUAUCCCAUUUCAGGAACUUCCUCGAGACGAACUUCUGUGAAGACAAAUGGUGGACCAACAGUUCCAAGCAUGCACAUUUCAUCUGGAUGCCCAAUGGUGGCCAAACCACAAGUCUCUGUCAAACCAUAGCCUUGUAGGACAAAUCCACAAGAGGUAACCCGCAAGAACUCUUCCACCUCAGUGCUUAAAGGAGCACCACCGGAAACUAUGAGACGAAUCCUGCCACCUAGCCUAUUCUUAACCUUUCUAAAAGCUAGUAGAUCAGCCAGUCGCGAAGCAUACUUCUGUUUGUACCCAAGAUUCAUCCAUUUAAGCUUGAAGUUAUAUAGCACAUGGAACAUGUGCCUCCUGAAAGGAUUGAGUUCUUCAAGUGCUUUUAGUACACCUUCAUGCACUUUUUCAUAAACUCGAG
rnacentral:misc_RNA from 1 species